rnacentral:lncRNA from 1 species
GGGACAGAAAAAAAUGGAAACGUGUAAGGUACAUUACAAAUAAGUUAACAAUAUGUAAAAGCACAAACUUAACCAUUUGUAAAGAUAAAAUAUUGAAGAAGAGACCUAUAACUUAAAAUAUGCACCAAAUAUAAUGUAUAAAAUAAUCAUAAAAAGAUUAAUUCAAGAAGGUUUGGAGUCUGAUGAAAGUGAAUAUUUCUACACGAACAACAUUAAUUUGAAAUCAUCUUGGUAGAUAUC